rnacentral:rRNA from 1 species
AUUGGACGCUGGCGGCAGGCCUAACACAUGCAAGUCGAGCGGAUGAAGGGAGCUUGCUCCUGGAUUCAGCGGCGGACGGGUGAGUAAUGCCUAGGAAUCUGCCUGGUAGUGGGGGAUAACGUCCGGAAACGGGCGCUAAUACCGCAUACGUCCUGAGGGAGAAAGUGGGGGAUCUUCGGACCUCACGCUAUCAGAUGAGCCUAGGUCGGAUUAGCUAGUUGGUGGGGUAAAGGCCUACCAAGGCGACGAUCCGUAACUGGUCUGAGAGGAUGAUCAGUCACACUGGAACUGAGACACGGUCCAGACUCCUACGGGAGGCAGCAGUGGGGAAUAUUGGACAAUGGGCGAAAGCCUGAUCCAGCCAUGCCGCGUGUGUGAAGAAGGUCUUCGGAUUGUAAAGCACUUUAAGUUGGGAGGAAGGGCAGUAAGUUAAUACCUUGCUGUUUUGGUGUUACCAACAGAAUAAGCACCGGCUAACUUCGUG